CACGUAGGGUGCGAGCGUUGUCCGGAAUUACUGGGCGUAAAGAGCUCGUAGGUGGUUUGUCGCGUUGUUCGUGAAAACCGGGGGCUUAACCCUCGGCGUGCGGGCGAUACGGGCAGACUGGAGUACUGCAGGGGAGACUGGAAUUCCUGGUGUAGCGGUGGAAUGCGCAGAUAUCAGGAGGAACACCGGUGGCGAAGGCGGUUCUCUGGGCAUUACCUGACGCUGAGGAGCGAAAGUGUGGGGAGCGAACAGG
rnacentral:rRNA from 1 species